rnacentral:misc_RNA from 1 species
GGCAGCCGCGGUAAUUCCAGCUCCAAUAGCGUAUAUUAAAGUUGUUGCAGUUAAAAAGCUCGUAGUUGAAUUUGCGGGAUCAAUAUGCUGGUCGUGCCAUUGGUACGUACUAGUAUUAUUGGUUUCUCCUUUCUGAUGAAUCAUGAUGUCAUUAAUUUGAUGUCAUGAGGAAUCAGGACUGUUACUUUGAAAAAAUUAGAGUGUUUAAAGCAGGCUCGCGCUUGAAUACAUUAGCAUGGAAUAAUGAAAUAGGAUGUUUGAUUCUAUUUUGUUGGUUUCUAGGAUUGACGUAAUGAUUAAUAGGGAUAGUUGGGGGCAUUAGUAUUCAAUUGUCAGAGGUGAAAUUCUUGGAUUUAUUGAAGACUAACUACUGCGAAAGCAUUUGCCAAGGAUGUUUUCUUAAUCAAGAACGAAAGUUAGGGGAUCGAAGACGAUCAGAUACCGUCGUAGUCUUAACCAUAAACUAUGCCGACUAGGGAUCGGAUGGAUGUUAAUUUUUUAAUGACUCAUUC